rnacentral:rRNA from 1 species
CGUGAAACUGCGAAUGGCUCAUUAAAUCAGUUAUCGUUUAUUUGAUAGUACCUUACUACUUGGAUAACCGUGGUAAUUCUAGAGCUAAUACAUGCUAAAAACCCCGACUUCGGAAGGGGUGUAUUUAUUAGAUAAAAAACCAAUGCCCUUCGGGGCUCUUUGGUGAUUCAUGAUAACUUCUCAGAUCGCAUGGCCUUGCGCCGGCGACGGUUCAUUCAAAUUUCUGCCCUAUCAACUUUCGAUGGUAAGGUAUUGGCUUACCAUGGUUUCAACGGGUAACGGGGAAUUAGGGUUCGAUUCCGGAGAGGGAGCCUGAGAAACGGCUACCACAUCCAAGGAAGGCAGCAGGCGCGCAAAUUACCCAAUCCCGACACGGGGAGGUAGUGACAAUAAAUACUGAUACAGGGCUCUUUUGGGUCUUGUAAUUGGAAUGAGUACAAUUUAAACCUCUUAACGAGGAACAAUUGGAGGGCAAGUCUGGUGCCAGCAGCCGCGGUAAUUCCAGCUCCAAUAGCGUAUAUUAAAGUUGUUGCAGUUAAAAAGCUCGUAGUUGAACCUUGGGCCUGGCUGGCAGGUCCGCCUCACCGCGUGUACUUGACCGGCCGGGCCUUCUCUUCUGGAGAACCUCAUGCCCUUUACUGGGCGUGUUGGGGACCAGGACUUUUACUUUGAAAAAAUUAGAGUGUUCAAAGCAGGCCUUUGCUCGAAUAUGUUAGCAUGGAAUAAUGGAAUAGGACGUGCGGUCCUAUUUUGUUGGUUUCUAGGACCGCCGUAAUGAUUAAUAGGGACAGUCGGGGGCAUCAGUAUUCAAUUGUCAGAGGUGAAAUUCUUGGAUUUAUUGAAGACUAACUACUGCGAAAGCAUUUGCCAAGGAUGUUUUCAUUAAUCAGUGAACGAAAGUUAGGGGAUCGAAGACGAUCAGAUACCGUCGUAGUCUUAACCAUAAACUAUGCCGACUAGGGAUCGGGCGAUGUUUCAAUAUUGACUCGCUCGGCACCUUACGAGA